GAGCAUGAGAGCCAUGCACAGCGGGGCUUGCUCACCUCUGACGUAGCCGUGGAAUAGGAAAGGGACGUCCGAGCAGACGAAGAAGGGUUAGGAAGUAAAGAUUAGUGAAUUAGUCUCCUCUCACUCCGCUAGACCGACCCGACGAGAAGAAGCCCCUGCAGCGGCAAAUGAACGGGCGCGGUUGCCGGUCGAUGAGCGGCCCUAAGCGGCACACGGGUACAUGUCGGCGGAAGGUCUUCGGUAGGCUCCCCGCCGGGCGUUGCGAGCGCGCCUCCAGGGCUGAAUCCUCCACCUGCUCCGACACACCGAGCGCCGACUCGACGAGAAUCGGACCCAGCGGUAGCAGAGGCACGCGGUGCGACUGUCCUUCGACCAGCGGCUCAAGGGCCCGUAAGCGGCGCGUGGGUCCAUGAGGCUGCGGAGGGGUCAUCGACAGGCUCGCCGCCUGGCGCUGCGAGCGCGCUCACAGGUUACCGAGGCCACAAGACUACUCGCACCGACGGCCGGUACCGGCACCAGCACACGGUGACGGAGAGGGCGACGGUGACCUUACUGCCUCCGAGCGCCGGUUCUAGGCCCCUCUUCCUCGAGGCACUGCCGCUCGAGGAGAUCCUCGUCCCGCUGGUGCAUGAGGUUCUCGUGCUGCUGCUGCUGUUCCAACUCCGAGGAAGCCCGUUGGAAUUGUUCCUCCUCCCACCGUCGACCUACUCCCAAUUUUAGUGCGGCCUCAGUGGCACAACAGGAGACUGCUGUGUCGGCCGCGGGGUACUAGAAGUCGUGCCAGCGCCGCGCCGCCGACCUGGAGGGACGGUCGGACGGGCCGGUUUGAGGUGUUCGACGUCGAGUGCCUAGGUUAGGUUCUUUGCAGGACGGUCGAUCACGGUACCAAGGGGGUGCCUUCCCCGUCCCUCAAGAUCGCUUCGAAAUAUGUUCCUCGAUACCGUACGAACCCGAUCCGGCAACUAGUGUCACGGAGUGGUUCCACUUUCAAAUGAUGAAAAGCGUACAAAUAUAACCUUGUACGUACAAAUAUAAUCUUGUCCAUACAGAGCGGCAGUAACCACAAACGAGAAGAACUACGGGGUAUUGGUUACUUACUUAAACGAUGUGUUGUGUUUGUCAUCGAUAAACACAAUACCCUGUGACGAAACAAGAACACAAUUUUUUACUGUUAUACUGAAACAAAUACGCCUUAUUAGUAGGUCCAUAAAUUUCAAGUAGGUGCAUGUAUAAAUCUUGAACUAUAAGAGAUCACACCAGUACAUAAUCAACUUUUUACUUAUAGGUAGUCUCCCAUGGUGGAAUGUAUGUCACAAGGUCGGAAUGUCCGGAGUGGUCUUCAGGGAAACGGUUCGAAGUGACACUACUGAUUGAAUGAUGAACUGUUUAUAGAAACGAUUGACUAUUUUCGUUGUUGCAUCCAUGUAUUUGAGUAAAAAGUGUACAAUACUGUUUGACUAAAGAAGGUCGACUGUUUUUUGGAUCUUUUGUCUCAUGAUUAUGUAUCUCUGCCAUAUUAACAAUUCCAAUGAAAUGCUUAAUUAAACCCUUAUCUGACUUGUAUAGUCCUAUAUGUACUCAACUGACGUUUCUUUUCUUUAGUAGUAGAUGAUUAUGACAUGAUUUACUUGUAAUAGGUAAGUGUAGAGGUCAUAACAUGAUAAUAUGUACUGUCUCUUACUGAUUGUCAUGAGCAAGAAGAGAAUUUCGACGGUUCUUUUAUGUCAGUCAUCUUUUCAAUCUUCCUAAAACUCGUGAUUUGAGGUCAAUAGUUAUGUGACCUGACAGAUGGCUAGAGGUUGGCCAAUUAAAUUCUUAGUAGUGGAAAUGGUUAUUCCCCCGUUAACAGACAUUCUACACUAAACGAACGUACGUAAAGUAUCUAUUUAUACACGUAUUUUCAAUCCUGAACGGAUGUAUGGACCUAUAAAUGUAAGUGUAUCUGUUAUAUAGAAGUUAAGUGUACAUCCUGUGUUAUUACAUAUCAGUGUUUGAGUGUUAAGGUACCGUCGUUUUUAUAAGUUAUUAGACACUUGAGGUAUUUGUUACUAUAAUAUCUAGAGAACAAAACAACUAUAUAACUGUAUAUCUUCCUCUACAUCAGAUGUCCUCUCUUCGUUGGUAGUUACCACAAUCACAGUGGAGAGGUAUCAUGGUAGCCAGGUUUCCGUGAGUUCAUUUUUUAGUUUUGUGUUUUCGCUGUUUACCGUGACCCUCAAACCUCGGGCGGGUAGACUAAAUCUGCUAGACCCUUUCUCGUUACUAAAACGGGAGAACACCUAAAUUUUAUGUUAAUCUUUUCAAGUGACUUGACUACUUACCCACAAAAUUCGAGUGGGUUGAAGGAAUCAAAAGUUUUACUUGUUUAGGGAGAGUUUUGUAUUAAAUUAUGUAGUAUAGACACGUCUUUAACGGUUAAGUUAAAAGACCAUGCGUUAUCAAUUUUACAUCCUUGAAGAUCAUGUUGUAUAUAUAUGCGUCCUCAUAUAUAUAGUUUUUCGUACCAAUCUCAAGAAAACAAUAAUUUUACGAGGGAGAACACUCAAAUUAUCGUCAAAUCCUAUUUUAGGACCUAGCGAUGUGGUCAGUGAUUUCAACUCGCAACCUCCCGAAGUUUCUAGGUCAACUACCACAAUUUGGCUACUACGUGUCAGUCGAAGGAGCAGUCCUGUUUCGAAUGUGCGUCGGGUGCGGUUAACCCAACUAGUCUUUCAGUUUUCCUUAGCUUUGGGUGGGAUAAUCUGAAGGAUGUGUGUUCGUGACUGUGAAGUUUGUGUGUGUGUGCGCGGUGGACAUAAUAUCCACACGAUUACGGAUAUCACGGUCUUGUUUAGUAUGAGGAUACGUGUAGUGUUGUCUGUACCCAGCCCCACAGUGUUCCGGUGUACUAAAAGUAUCCUUUCUGAAGACCAGUACACAGUAGAUUUUCAUAUACGUACGUUCCUGGAAAAGAGAGAACUAGAACCCUUGUAGAUGGACGGACCUUUCUACGAUCUUCGUACUACGUGUGGUCGCCGUUUCCUCUCAACAACGCACGAUACCCACCACACUUUCUAAGACGCUGUGAGAAUCCUCAUGGGGAACCCGUGUUGAGUAGAAAGAACGUCCCCGGACGUAAACGCGGAGGAGCGUAUUCCCUCCGGUAUACGGAAAAGCCGCUAAUAAAAUUGGGGAGGAGUGGCGGCGGCGGCAGCUCGCGGUGGGGCGAACGUGGGAGACACGUCGGACACUACGUUGACGGCGUGAUAUCGGUCGUCGAUGGUCGGUACCUCUGGUACCCUCUUUGAGUCAUGAUGAUGAGGCUUCGGCCAGGUCCCGUGCGGCAUGAGGGCCUGCGCGGUGUUGGCGGCCGUCGACUUUGGUGGUUCGGCCGGCCUCCCUCCGUGGCACCUGCCGGAGCACCGUCGUGGCGUUUCAGGUUUAGGUUCAGCUUCCAGCGGUUGUGGCGGCGACGUCGACGCGCGACCGUCGUCGUCGUGCUUCGACGAUGGCGCAGAUGGUAGGUUUUCGUUCGUGAGGGUCUAGGUAGGCCUACGGCCUGUACCUCCUCAGGCCCGUCGGGUUCGGGCGGCUGGGGAGCCUUAGCCUCGAGAGGAGCCUGGGCGGGUUCCCGCGUUCCUGCUUGCGCCUGCUGACCGUGGUUCCGGCAGCCGCCCUCUAGGCUGAAGUGGUUGCCCUUACCCCGGCCUAGACGGUGCGGGCUCGCGAGGUAGGACCUGCUGUCCCUGCUGAUGUAGGAACGUCCAGGCUCGCGAGGUAGACCACCCAGGCUCGCGAGGUAUGAACUGUCCCUGGUGCCCCUGCUGAUGUAGGAGCUGUACCUGUUGAUGUAGGAGCUGCCCCUGCUGAUGUAAACGGUCCAGCGGGCGGUCCCACCGCCGUCUGAAGCGGUACCCGCCGCGUCGGCACCACAACCGGUUCUACCCCCGCUGCGGCCACCUCGUGCAGUUCGAUGACGACGUCUUGGUCCGGCUCUACGACGCGAUCCCGCGGGAGUGCGCUGGGAUGGCGCCCUAGUGGCUGCGGAAGCGGGCGCAGGAGGCGCUCCUCCCGCGGCAGCGCGAGACCACGCCCUUGGUCCGGUUGCAGUAGACUAUCAAGGGGUGGGUCCAGGCGGGGGAGGAGGGAGGGAAGGAAGGAACUGGUAGGUGUAAAAGUAGACU
rnacentral:rRNA from 1 species